rnacentral:rRNA from 1 species
UACGUAGGUGGCAAGCGUUGUCCGGAUUUAUUGGGCGUAAAGCGAGCGCAGGCGGUUUCUUAAGUCUGAUGUGAAAGCCCCCGGCUCAACCGGGGAGGGUCAUUGGAAACUGGGAGACUUGAGUACUGGAGAGGCAGGCGGAAUUCCGUGUGUAGCGGUGAAAUGCGUAGAUAUACGGAGGAACACCAGUGGCGAAGGCGGCUCUCUGGUCUGUAACUGACGCUGAGGCUCGAAAGCGUGGGGAGCAAAC